rnacentral:lncRNA from 1 species
GCAGAUUUUAGAAGCUUGACUGGCUAUUAAACUACUUUAAGUUCUUUUCCUUUCUAAAUACUGUACGUAAAUUAAGAAAUAAUUACGACCCUUGUCACUUGGCCUAACAGCCCAACCGAAUGGCCUAGAUUUGAAGCUAUCACACUAUUUAGCCCAUGUUGUACAUAACUUGAAAGAAAGUUUUCAGCCUUUAGCCCAUUAUUAAAGUCUAGAGACACACUUUAUUAUUUUCUUCUUUCUUCAUCCCAUCAUACCAAAUUCUCUCUCACUGGCUCUCCUUCUUUCUUUCUAAACCACAUAGAUCUCAUCUGAGUAAAAAAAAGAGUAUCAUAGUAUGCUUAGUUUGAUAAAAA